AGCGGUAUGUGGUAGAUGGAGACUGUGAUGCUGGGCGGCAGCAGCCAGACGCAGCUUUUAGCCAGCCACAAGACCGCGAGGGUAAACCACCCAAACUCUACUGCGUUCUGUGUGGAUGCCCAAGUACUUAUUCUUGAGCCUCACCAGAAGAAAAAUUGAUUGCCCUGUCACCAUGGCAUCCCUGUCAUCCAGCAAUUUUAGAUGUUUCAAACAUUCUUCAGCCCAGUGUCUUUCAGUUGUGUACGUUAAUGUUCCAGAGGUCAUCCAACAAGACGCCCAAGGCUAAAACGGAUUCAUCUGACAGAGCCACAUACAUAGCACUGCUGAGCAGCUCAAGCCCUGGUCUUGUCUUUCCUUGGUUCCCAGUGUGAACUGCAAGUAGCAAUAAAAAUUUAACUCUGCUGA